rnacentral:rRNA from 1 species
UACGGAGGGUGCAAGCGUUGUCCGGAUUUAUUGGGUUUAAAGGGUGCGUAGGCGGCCCGUUAAGUCAGUGGUGAAAUCCCAGGGCUCAACCCUGGAACUGCCAUUGAUACUGACGGGCUUGAGUUCGGUUAAGGCGGGCGGAACUGGUGGUGUAGCGGUGAAAUGCGUAGAUAUCUGGAGGAACACCGGUGGCGAAGGCGGCAUCCUGGACCGACACUGACGCUGAGGCGCGAAAGCUAGGGUAGCAAACGGG